UACGUAGGGGGCAAGCGUUGUCCGGAUUUAUUGGGCGUAAAGAGCGUGUAGGCGGUCAGGUAGGUCCGCUGUGAAAACUCGAGGCUCAACCUCGAGAUGUCGGCGGAAACCAUCUGGCUAGAGUCCGGAAGAGGAGAGUGGAAUUCCUGGUGUAGCGGUGAAAUGCGCAGAUAUCAGGAAGAACACCCGUGGCGAAGGCGGCUCUCUGGGACGGUACUGACGCUGAGACGCGAAAGCGUGGGGAGCGAACAGG
rnacentral:rRNA from 1 species